GGGAGAGUUUGCUUAAUCAGAUGCUUAAAGUAAGACAAGUCUCUGCAUGAAACUUGGAAAUCUCCUAGGAGCAGCCAGAUUCCACACUGAGACCCAACAGAGUUCUGGGCUAUGCUGUAUUUUGGAGAAGGAAAAGCAGGUGCUGAGAGCUAAGUAGCCAAUUACUCUUUAUAGCCACAUAAGGACUGGAGGCAAGUAGGCCUUUCCAACAAGUUGUAUUAUGCGAUCACUGGCUUUGCAGGGAAUCUCACAAAUGUAUAACCUUCUGAUUGCCUUUUUGAUUGAAAGUUCCAUCUGAGAUCAAGGCAGUGCAACCAGUAAUAAGAUUUCAAAAAAUCCCAUCACUGGCACUGUUGGAAAGGCUGAGCAUGACUGAAAUCCCAUCAUUGUCAGUCAAAAAAUAAGGUAAGAUUGGGCAUCACUAUAAAAGCUAUAUAAAUGCACAAUUUAAACAUAAAUAUCAACAUCAAAAGACAAUAUAUAUACACACACAUAUAUAUUUAUACACACAGAUAUCUUCAAGUUUUUAGAAAUAAAUUUAUAUUUACAACUUUUCUUCUCACAAUCACAUACUAU
rnacentral:lncRNA from 1 species